UAGGGAAUCUUCCACAAUGGACGCAAGUCUGAUGGAGCAACGCCGCGUGAGUGAAGAAGGUUUUCGGACCGUAAAGCUCUGUUGUUGGUGAAGAAGGAUAGAGGUAGUAACUGGCCUUUAUUUGACGGUAAUCAACCAGAAAGUCACGGCUAACUACGUGCCAGCAGCCGCGGUAAUACGUAGGUGGCAAGCGUUGUCCGGAUUUAUUGGGCAUAAAGCGAGCGCAGGCGGAAGAAUAAGUCUGAUGUGAAAGCCCUCGGCUUAACCGAGGAAUUGCAUCGGAAACUGUUUUUCUUGAGUGCAGAAGAGGAGAGUAGAACUCCAUGUGUAGCGGUGGAAUGCGUAGAUAUAUGGAAGAAUACCAGUGGCGAAGGCGGCUCUCUGGUCUGCAACUGACGCUGAGGCUCGAAAGCAUGGGUAGCGAACAGGAUUAGAUGCCCUGGUAGUCCAUGCCGUA
rnacentral:rRNA from 1 species